UAAAGCAUACUUCCGUUGUGAGAUCACAAUACCUGAGUUAUACUGCGCGACCUCAAUACCCAGAAAAUACUUUAAUGUGCCCAGAUCCUUAGUCUGAAAGUGUUGAAAGAGAUGUUGCUUCAGUUUAGUAAUACCAUCCUGGUCAUUGCCGGUAAUAACGAUGUCGUCAACAUAGACCACUAGAUAAAUACAGAGACGUGAAUCAGAAUGCCGAUAGAAUAUCCUGGUCAUUGCCGGUAAUAACAAUGUCGUCAACAUAGACCACUAGAUAAAUACAGAAACUCGAAUCAGAAUGCCGAUAGAAUACAAAGUGAUCAGCUUCACUCCAGGUCAUGCCAAAGUCCUGGAUAACACUGCUAAACUUACCAAACCAGGCUCGAGUAGACUGCUUUAGACCAUAAAGUGACCGGCGCAAGCGACAUACAAAGCCACGAGACUCCCCCUGAGUACAAACCCAGGUGGUUACACCAUAUAAACUUCAUCCUCAAGGUCACCGUGUAAAAACGCAUUUUUAAUGUCCACCUGAUACAGGGGCCAAUGGCGAACAACACCUAUGGAUAGAAAAAGGCGGACUGAUGCUAUCUUAGCCACG
rnacentral:lncRNA from 1 species